rnacentral:misc_RNA from 1 species
UCCCUGUGCACAAAAUUAGACUGAGUUUGCAUUGUUGUAGUUGUGACAUUAUUGACAUCAGCUUGCUGUGGAACAGAUUGACUGUCAUUCUUAACAGGUUGGAAAGCUCCCGAUGGGUACAAACAGUUGACUGUUGAUGCCAUUGCUGACUUGUUAUUAGUAACUACGGACUUGGAAAAUGCAUUAUUAGUAGUGGACCCCAUGUCAAUAUUAUUGCUAUCUCCAUUUGAG